GUGUUCACUUUGGCAGCACAUGUACUAAAAACUGGAAAAAUGCAGAGAAAAUUAGCAUGGUCUCUGUGUAAGGGUGAUAUGCACAUAAUGUUUAAGCAUUUAAACAGUU
rfam:Fukomys damarensis contig122046, whole genome shotgun sequence.